UCCGUAGGUGAACCUGCGGAGGGAUCAUUACCGAGUUUACAACUCCCAAACCCAAUGUGAACGUUACCAAACUGUUGCCUCGGCGGGAUCUCUGCCCCGGGUGCGUCGCAGCCCCGGACCAAGGCGCCCGCCGGAGGACCAACCUAAAACUCUUAUUGUAUACCCCCUCGCGGGUUUUUUUUAUAAUCUGAGCCUUCUCGGCGCCUCUCGUAGGCGUUUCGAAAAUGAAUCAAAACUUUCAACAACGGAUCUCUUGGUUCUGGCAUCGAUGAAGAACGCAGCGAAAUGCGAUAAGUAAUGUGAAUUGCAGAAUUCAGUGAAUCAUCGAAUCUUUGAACGCACAUUGCGCCCGCCAGUAUUCUGGCGGGCAUGCCUGUCCGAGCGUCAUUUCAACCCUCGAACCCCUCCGGGGGGUCGGCGUUGGGGAUCGGCCCUCCCUUAGCGGGUGGCCGUCUCCGAAAUACAGUGGCGGUCUCGCCGCAGCCUCUCCUGCGCAGUAGUUUGCACACUCGCAUCGGGAGCGCGGCGCGUCCACAGCCGUUAAACACCCAACUUCUGAAAUGUUGACCUCGGAUCAGGUAGGAAUACCCGCUGAACUUAA
rnacentral:rRNA from 1 species